CCUACGGGAGGCAGCAGUGGGGAAUAUUGGGCAAUGGGCGCAAGCCUGACCCAGCAACGCCGCGUGAAGGAAGAAGGCUUUCGGGUUGUAAACUUCUUUUCUCAGGGACGAAGAAAGUGACGGUACCUGAGGAAUAAGCCACGGCUAACUCCGUGCCAGCAGCCGCGGUAAUACGUAGGUGGCAAGCGUUAUCCGGAUUUACUGGGUGUAAAGGCGGUGUGGGUGGGACUGAAAGUCAGAUGUGAAAACCACGGGCUCAACCUGUGGCCUGCAUUUGAAACUGUAGUUCUUGAGUACUGGAGAGGCAGACGGAAUUCCUAGUGGAGCGGUGAAAUGCGUAGAUAUUAGGAGGAACACCAGUGGCGAAGGCGGUCGGCUGGACAGCAACUGACGCUGAGGCGCGAAAGCGUGGGGAGCAAACAGGAUUAGAUACCCGAGUAGUC
rnacentral:rRNA from 1 species